rnacentral:rRNA from 1 species
UACGAAGGGGGCUAGCGUUGCUCGGAAUCACUGGGCGUAAAGCGCACGUAGGCGGACUCUUAAGUCGGUGGUGAAAUCCUGGAGCUCAACUCCAGAACUGCCUUCGAUACUGAGAGUCUCGAGUCCGGGAGAGGUGAGUGGAACUGCGAGUGUAGAGGUGAAAUUCGUAGAUAUUCGCAAGAACACCAGUGGCGAAAGCGGCUCACUGGACCAUAACUGACGCUGAGGCGCGAAAGCUAGGGGAGCAAACAGG